rnacentral:lncRNA from 1 species
UUUUUUUUUUUUUUUUUGCCAUGAAAUGGCAGGGGAUCUGCUGGCUAAUAAACCAGACUUGAUAAUCACAUCAUGUGUAUGGCAGAAAUUAUGCUUAUUCCCCAGUGAAAUAAGAUUUCUCAGGUCUCAGUGGAGGCAGAUGAAUUUAUCAUUCUGAAACAGCAGGGUGGGUCAUAGCCUGGGUGGCAAGCUUUGUAAAUAUUCAUGGAGAUUCCAAAUUCCACUGUGUCUGCAGUAAUUUAGAAGCAGUGUUAGCAGCGGAGGGUCAAGGGCGAAAAAAUGACAACAAAAAAAUUAUGUGGGUGGGAUUUGGAUCUCUUUACUGUAAGAAAAAUUCUUCUUUUUUGGAAAAUUCUUUUUGUCUCUUCAGUGUCUGUGGCCAUCUGAGAAUGUCUACAUGAUGCCAGACCAUACUUUACUCUGAAUAUCCACCGAUAAGGUUAUUUGACCUCUUUCUCUCUAAUUUCACAGUGUCAGUCCUUGAGCUGAAUAAUUUCAAACAGAUUUGACUCCCAAGAGACCUUUUUCUUUGUGGAGCAAACCAUGAAGAAACACUUGAAUAGUGGGUGAAAUGACGAAUACUCUAAACCUCACAAACUAUUAGGAAUCAAUUUCCCAAACAUCAUACCUAAUUAUUCUCCCUCCCCCAUUUCAAUUCAGGAAUCUCAAGGUUAAGGAAAAGCAGCUGAAAAAACAGUAUUCUUGGUUGGGUUCAUGUAAUGCCCAUUUUUCGUUUUUUAUAACUGUAGGAUAGAAAGGAGAGAAACUUCUAAAAUCUGCCUCUUUAAUUGCCAAAAAAGAACACUCAGAGAAAGAAAAGUUUGUGCUAUUAUGCAGAGAUGAUAGUGUUGGCGGGAAUCGUAGAAACUCCUCUUGUUUAGUGGUUCUCAAAAUGUGGUCCUCAAGGGGACACCAGGGGUUUUCUGAGUUGGGAGGGACAGAAGAAGGAAGGGCAGGUGAUUCAGCUAAUGUGGUGGCCCCAUGGCCAGGAGGGAGAAGUGGAUUCCACAGAGGCUUCAGUAGAAGGCAGAGAACUUGCAGGUGAUGCGAAGAUGUGUUUGUGAAUAAUCACACCGGGUAUGUCAGUGCUGUCCUAGUAUUUGUGCCUGUGGAGGUGCAGAGGCAGCAGAUGAUGGUGAAUGGAGGGCACUUGGAAUCAGAAGGCAGGAAUAGGUAGUUUCAGUGCUCAGUGGGGUGGGUCAUCUCUGGACCUUUUCAACAGGUCCAAGAUGUAUAGAACAAAUAGUUUAAGAAUUAUGCAUCAGUCUAGGCCUUGUUCUGCAUGUAAAGUUAUUCAAGACAGUCAUCUGAGAUAAUCUGAAGACCAAGAAUAGGUUCCACAUCCACACUUUGUAGCAAGUUUAAUGGUUGAGCCCCUUUAGAGUCAAAAUUCGUGUAUGUCAUAUCUAUCAUGUAAUUCCUGCUGAAGUCUAAGACUCCAUUUCUUUUGUUAGGUACAU